GGAGCUGGAGGACUUGGAGCUGGUGGAAAGCCUCCAAAAGCAGGCUAUGGAGUGCAACCAGGCUAUGGUGCUGCUGCUGGUCUGGGUGUCCCAGGUGCCGGUCUUGGAGCUGGGCUAGGGCUUCCCGGUGCUAGAUUUGGAGCAGGCAAACAGAAACCAGG